AAAGUUUGCAGCUGGUUUGCGCGUCAACAUCCGCCUGACCGACUGCGCAUGCGCGGUGGAAGCGCUUCACAAAUAAAUACAAUUAUUAUUAUUAUUCGAGAGAGAGAGAGAGACUUUCCGUUAACAUGAGCGGCGGUGAUUUAUGCCCCAAGUGUAUUGUGGGAUAUCAGAGUCUCUGAACACAGGGUUGGUACGACUUUUCCUACUCCACAACGAUUUAAAUUUGGCCUUUGCCCAUGGGAUCCUGAGCUCUUGGUGUCCUCUGCUUUAGGACAAUAGGAGGAAUGUCCAGUCCUUUCUGUGGCUCAAACAGAGCGUCAGGAGAGGAAGUGGCCUCAGCGCGUUCAGUCGAUCCACAGCCUCAGGCCGCAGGGAGCAGCUUUCUCAUCUAAUCCCUCUCUCAGGCUCCUCUCUCUUCUUUUCUCAAUCCCUCUUUCGAUCGGUUCCCCUCUCUUUUCAUUCUUUCAGCUGCAGCUCUCUGUUUAAGCUGUUUUCACAGCAUGCUUGAUACAUUAGAGCACCAACUCACAGCACCAGCUCCCUUUGUCCAGGUCAUACCGUAAUUCAUCAAAAAAUUAAACAAAAGAAAAAGGCAGAAUUUAUUUGUAAUAUAAAAUUAUAUUAUUACACACUAUUAUUUUUAAUGUAAUCUGUAAUGCAUCUGUAAUGCAAAAACUUUUCAUAAACAGGAUGGAAAUAUUAUUA